AUACGAAGGGUGCUAGCGUUGUUCGGAAUUACUGGGCGUAAAGAGCAUGUAGGCGGAUAGAUUAGUCAAAGGUGAAAGCCCCGAGCUCAACUCGGGAACUGCCUUUGAUACUGUUUAUCUAGAGACCGAGAGAGGUGAGUGGAAUUCUCAGUGUAGAGGUGAAAUUCGUAGAUAUUGGGAAGAACACCAGUGGCGAAGGCGGCUCACUGGCUCGGAACUGACGCUGAGAUGCGAAAGCGUGGGGAGCGAACAGGAUUAGAAACCCUAGUAGUCC
rnacentral:rRNA from 1 species